rnacentral:rRNA from 1 species
AUGGAGCAGAAUGGAGAGAGCCAUCUCAAGGAGCCGCUUCUCCAUGCGGCCGAUGGCGCUUCUGCCGCCGCCGCCAGGGUGUCCCCGCGGAAGGAGAGGACUACAAGGAAGGUCAUGUUCAAUGUCCGGGGCAUGUCAUGCGGUUCCUGGGUGGUGGCAGGAUUGAAGGGGGUCGAGAGCAUCCAGGUCUCAACCCUUCAGGGCCAGGCUGUUGUUCAGUACAGCCCGGAGGAGACCGAUGCAAGAACCAUAAAAGAAGCUAUUGAGGAUAUCAACUUUGAGGUCGAUGAACUCCAAGAACAAGAAAUUGCCGUAUGCAGGCUCCGGAUAAAAGGAAUGGCAUGUACAAGCUGCUCUGAAUCUAUUGAACGGGCACUUCUGAUGGUACCUGGAGUUAAAAAAGCUGCAGUGGGGCUUGCCCUAGAGGAAGCCAAGGUGCACUUUGAUCCAAAUAUUACCAGCCGUGAUUUACUAAUCGAGGCUAUUGAGGAUGCUGGAUUUGGAGCUGAUCUCAUUAGUUAUGGGGACGAUGUGAACAAAAUGCAUCUAAAACUUGAGGGUGUGAGUUCUCCAGAAGACACCAAACUCAUUCAGUCGGUACUGGAAACUGUAGAGGGAGUGAAUAAUGUUGAAUGGGAUACAUCAGGUCAAACAGUUACAGUUGCAUAUGACCCUGAUGUCACUGGUCCACGAUUACUUAUUCAGCGCAUUCAGGAUGCUGCAGAACCCCCUAAAUGCUUUAAUGCCAGCUUGUACUCACCACCAAAGCAAAGAGAAGUAGAACGCCACCAUGAAAUUAUGAGUUACAGGAACCAAUUUCUUUGGAGUUGCCUCUUUUCAGUUCCUGUGUUCCUGUUCGCGAUGGUUCUGCCCAUGCUCCCUCCUUCUGGAGAUUGGCUGUUUUAUAAAAUCUACAACAACAUGACGGUAGGUAUGCUACUGCGGUGGUUGCUAUGUUCUCCAGUUCAGUUCAUUAUUGGUUGGAGAUUUUACGUUGGAGCUUACCAUGCACUGAAGCGAGGGUACUCUAACAUGGAUGUGCUGGUUGCUUUGGGAACAAAUGCUGCGUACUUCUAUUCUGUGUACAUUAUUGUGAAGGCACUAACAUCAGACACGUUUGAAGGACAAGAUCUUUUUGAAACUAGUUCGAUGUUGGUAUCUUUUAUAUUGCUGGGAAAAUACCUUGAGGUGGUGGCAAAGGGGAAGACAUCAGAUGCUUUGUCAAAGCUGACAGAACUUGCACCAGAAACAGCUGUACUUCUCACACUGGAAAAGGAUGGAAGUGUCAUUUCAGAAGUGGAGAUCAGUACCCAGUUACUUCAAAGAAACGAUUUCAUUAAGAUUGUCCCUGGUGAAAAGGUCCCAGUUGAUGGUGUUGUCAUCAAAGGCCAAAGCCAUGUUAAUGAAAGUAUGAUAACUGGGGAAGCAAGGCCCAUUGCAAAGAAACCGGGAGAUAAGGUUAUUGGUGGUACUGUAAACGAUAAUGGUUUCAUAAUUGUUAAGGCCACCCAUGUUGGGUCAGAGACGGCUCUGUCACAGAUAGUCCAGCUAGUUGAAGCUGCUCAACUUGCAAGAGCUCCAGUACAGCGGUUGGCAGACAAGAUUUCACGGUUUUUUGUUCCAACUGUUGUGGUGGCUGCAUUUCUUACAUGGCUUGGCUGGUUCAUACCCGGGCAACUUCACCUCUACCCUCAGCAAUGGAUUCCAAAGGCAAUGGAUAGUUUUGAGCUUGCUCUGCAGUUUGGAAUAUCUGUCCUAGUCGUUGCAUGCCCGUGUGCUCUGGGAUUAGCUACCCCAACUGCUGUUAUGGUUGCUACUGGAAAAGGUGCUUCUCUAGGUGUUCUUAUCAAAGGUGGCAAUGCACUUGAGAAAGCUCACAAGAUUAAAACUAUCAUAUUUGAUAAAACUGGAACCCUGACUAAGGGUAAACCUUCUGUUGUUCAAACAAAGACCUUCUCCAAGAUACCACUUCUAGAAUUGUGUGAUUUAACUGCCAGUGCUGAGGCAAACAGUGAGCAUCCUCUAUCAAAGGCUAUUGUUGAAUACACAAAGAAGCUCAGAGAACAAUAUGGAUCUCCGAGUGAUCAUAUGAUGGAUUCCAAAGAUUUUGAGGUGCAUCCAGGGGCAGGGGUCAGCGCGAAUGUUGAAGGCAAGCUGGUUUUGGUUGGGAACAAACGGCUCAUGCAAGAAUUUGAAGCUCCAAUGAGCUCUGAAGUGGAGGAAUACAUGUCUGAAAUGGAGGAUCUUGCCAGGACCUGUGUGCUUGUUGCGAUCGAUAGGGUUAUCUGCGGAGCUCUUGCCGUAUCGGAUCCUCUGAAGCCUGAGGCAGGACGCGUCAUUUCACACCUUAGCUCAAUGGGCAUCACAAGCAUCAUGGUGACGGGCGACAACUGGGCUACAGCCAAAUCCAUAGCAAAGCAAGUCGGGAUCAGCACCGUAUUUGCUGAGAUUGAUCCAGUUGGAAAAGCUGAGAAGAUCAAGGACUUGCAGACGCAAGGACUUGCCGUGGCGAUGGUCGGCGACGGGGUGAACGACUCGCCGGCCCUGGCCGCAGCGGACGUGGGCAUGGCCAUCGGCGCGGGCACAGACGUCGCCAUCGAGGCCGCUGACAUCGUCUUGAUGAAGAGCAGCCUAGUGGACGUGAUCACGGCAAUCGACCUCUCGCGGAAGACCCUCGCCAAGAUCCGGCUCAACUACGUCUGGGCCCUGGGCUACAAUGUCCUGGGCAUGCCGAUCGCCGCCGGCGUCCUGUUCCCGUUCACGGGCAUCCGGCUCCCCCCGUGGCUCGCCGGGGCCUGCAUGGCCGCCUCAUCGGUGAGCGUCGUCUGCUCGUCGCUGCUGCUCCAGCUCUACAAGAAGCCGUUGCACGUCGAGGAGGUGCCGAUGACGGCAGGGCCCGGCGAUGGUGGCUCGAACCUGGUGUGA